UACGUAGGGGGCUAGCGUUGUCCGGAAUCAUUGGGCGUAAAGCGCGUGUAGGCGGUCCGGUAAGUCCGCUGUGAAAGUCGAGGGCUCAACCCUCGAAUGCCGGUGGAUACUGUCGGGCUAGAGUCCGGAAGAGGCGAGUGGAAUUCCUGGUGUAGCGGUGGAAUGCGCAGAUAUCAGGAGGAACACCAAUAGCGAAGGCAGCUCGCUGGGACGGUACUGACGCUGAGGCGCGAAAGCGUGGGGAGCGAACAGG
rnacentral:rRNA from 1 species